rnacentral:rRNA from 1 species
GAUGAACGCUAGCGGGAGGCUUAAUACAUGCAAGUCGAGCGGCAAGUUUUGAUAGCAAUAUUGGAACCUAGAGCGGCGCACGGGUGAGUAACGCGUACAUGACCUGCCCUAUACUGGGGGAUAGUCUUGGGAAACUGAGAAUAAUCCCGCAUGUGAUUAGAAUGCUGCAUGGCAAAUUAAUUAAAGCUGAGGCGGUAUAGGGAUGGGUGUGCGUCUGAUUAGCUAGUUGGUAGUGUAACGGACUACCAAGGCGAUGAUCAGUAGGGGGCGUGAGAGCGUGACCCCCACACGGGUACUGAGACACGGACCCGACUCCUACGGGAGGCAGCAGUAAGGAAUAUUGGUCAAUGGAGGGAACUCUGAACCAGCUAUCCCGCGUGAAGGAUGAAGGGGCUCUGCCUUGUAAACUGCUUUAGACUGAGACGAAAAAUGGGAUUUUUCCUACAUUGACGGUAUCAGUAGAAUAAGCACCGGCUAAC